GCAAACUUGGUCAUUUAGAGGAAGUAAAAGUCGUAACAAGGUCUCCGUUGGUGAACCAGCGGAGGGAUCAUUACUGAGUAUAAAAACUCCAAACCCAUUGUGAACCUACCUCUGUUGCCUCGGCGGGAGUGCCUACUUACCCUGUAGCUACCCGGUAAAUCCUACCCUGUAGUUACCCUGUAUUAGUUACCCCGCCGGAGGACACAUUAAACUCUUGAAUUUUAGUGGCACGUCUGAGUUAUUCUUCAAAUAAGUUAAAACUUUCAACAACGGAUCUCUUGGUUCUGGCAUCGAUGAAGAACGCAGC
rnacentral:misc_RNA from 1 species